rnacentral:rRNA from 1 species
GACGAACGCUGGCGGCGUGCCUAAUACAUGCAAGUAGAACGCUGAAGGAGGAGCUUGCUUCUCUGGAUGAGUUGCGAACGGGUGAGUAACGCGUAGGUAACCUGCCUGGUAGCGGGGGAUAACUAUUGGAAACGAUAGCUAAUACCGCAUAAGAGAAGAUGUCGCAUGACAUUUGCUUAAAAGGUGCAAUUGCAUCACUACCAGAUGGACCUGCGUUGUAUUAGCUAGUUGGUGAGGUAACGGCUCACCAAGGCAACGAUACAUAGCCGACCUGAGAGGGUGAUCGGCCACACUGGGACUGAGACACGGCCCAGACUCCUACGGGAGGCAGCAGUAGGGAAUCUUCGGCAAUGGACGGAAGUCUGACCGAGCAACGCCGCGUGAGUGAAGAAGGUUUUCGGAUCGUAAAGCUCUGUUGUAAGAGAAGAACGAGUGUGAGAGUGGAAGGUUCACACUGUGACGGUAUCUUACCAGAAAGGGACGGCUAACUACGUG